rnacentral:rRNA from 1 species
ACACCGGCAGCCCAAGUGGUGGCCAUUUUUAUUGGGCCUAAAGCGUUCGUAGCCGGCCUGAUAAGUCUCUGGUGAAAUCCCGCAGCUUAACUGUGGGAAUUGCUGGAGAUACUAUUAGACUUGAGACCGGGAGAGGUUGGAGGUACUCCCAGGGUAGAGGUGAAAUUCUGUAAUCCUGGGAGGACCGCCUGUUGCGAAGGCGUCUAACUGGAACGGUUCUGACGGUGAGGGACGAAAGUUAGGGGCGCGAACCGGAUUAGAUACCCGGGUAGUCCUAACUGUAAACGAUGCGGACUUGGUGUUGGGGUGGCUUUGAGCUGUCUCAGUGCCGAAGGGAAGCUGUUAAGUCCGCCGCCUGGGAAGUACGGUCGCAAGACUGAAACUUAAAGGAAUUGGCGGGG